rnacentral:other from 1 species
GUGACCCUACUGUGCGCGUGUUGCCGCAAACCGGUUCUGAGCCAACACAGUCUAAAUGGGUUCUGAUCUUUCGUCAGUGACGCGAUAGGCCCGAGCCAAGGCGGAUCUGCCGGGAAGGGACCCAACCUGCGAAGGCAGGUUCAGAACUGCGCUGCACACGGCACGGUGGGGUAUUU